ACGGGGGCCCGCACAAGCGGUGGAGCAUGUGGUUUAAUUCGAUGCAACGCGAAGAACCUUACCUACUCUUGACAUCCAGAGAAUUUGGCAGAGAUGCCUUAGUGCCUUCGGGAGCUCUGAGACAGGUGCUGCAUGGCUGUCGUCAGCUCGUGUUGUGAAAUGUUGGGUUAAGUCCCGCAACGAGCGCAACCCUUAUCCUCUGUUGCCAGCACGUUAUGGUGGGAACUCAGGGGAGACUGCCGGUGAUAAACCGGAGGAAGGUGGGGAUGACGUCAAGUCAUCAUGGCCCUUACGAGUAGGGCUACACACGUGCUACAAUGGCGCAUACAAAGAGAAGCGACCUCGCGAGAGCAAGCGGACCUCAUAAAGUGCGUCGUAGUCCGGAUUGGAGUCUGCAACUCGACUCCAUGAAGUCGGAAUCGCUAGUAAUCGUAGAUCAGAAUGCUACGGUGAAUACGUUCCCGGGCCUUGUACACACCGCCCGUCACACCAUGGGAGUGGGUUGCAAAAGAAGUAGGUAGCUUAACCUUCGGGAGGGCGCUUACCACUUUGUGAUUCAUGACUGGGGUGAAGUCCUAACAAGGUA
rnacentral:rRNA from 1 species